rnacentral:rRNA from 1 species
UACGGAGGGGGCUAGCGUUGUUCGGAAUUACUGGGCGUAAAGCGCACGUAGGCGGCUUUGCAAGUUAGAGGUGAAAGCCCGGGGCUCAACUCCGGAAUUGCCUUUAAAACUGCAUCGCUAGAAUUGUGGAGAGGUAAGUGGAAUUCCGAGUGUAGAGGUGAAAUUCGUAGAUAUUCGGAAGAACACCAGUGGCGAAGGCGACUUACUGGACACAUAUUGACGCUGAGGUGCGAAAGCGUGGGGAGCAACAGG